rnacentral:misc_RNA from 1 species
GAGCUGCAAUGCCAUUAGCAAUUCCAUCUCUUGAUGCGUCAGGUCAGGGGGAGCAGAAACAGCCUUUUCCAAUUUCUAUGCCUCUAGGAGCCCCUCCUCUUCCUCCUGGCCCACAUCCAUCUCUUCUUGCUGCCAAUCAGCAGCAGGGAUAUCAACAUAAUCCUCAGCAGAUGCAGCAGCAGCAGCAACACCAGGCCCUCCCUCAGCAAAUGCCUCCUUUGCCUAUGCCUCCACCAAAUAUGCAGCAGCUACAGCCACCAUCACAUUUAUCCCUCCUCCCUCAUCCCCAUCUACCCCGCCCUCCACAAGUGUCCCCUCAUGGUAUGCCUUCACCAAGUCCAUCUUCUAUGCCAGGAUCCUUGCCUGUGCCUUCAUCAAUGUCUGCAUCGCAUCCAUUGCAAAUGCCUGGUCCAAUGGGAAUGCAAGGCUCAAUGAAUCCAAUGGUCCCGCCAAUGCCGCAAAGCCAUUUCAUGGGCAUGAACCCAAUGCACUCAGGAUCCUUAUCCACAAGU